GGGUAUAGCUCAGUGGUAGAGUGUAUGCUUAGCAUACAUGAGGUCCUGGGUUCAAUCCCCAGUAUCUCCA
rnacentral:tRNA from 1 species